AGAUUUAUUCCGCUUUUGUAGUUCUUUCUCUCUACUCUUGGCUUAUGCAUCCGUUUCCGUUCCAUUGUUUAGCAUGAAGGCUACUUUGAAAGGCAGCUACGACAUCGGAAAAAACGCCGGUGCUGCUGCCACUCUCGCCGUCAACACCAGCGACGUUAAGCUCAAGGUUUCCAUAACGGAAGCCACUUUCAAAAACAGUCCCAGGCUAAACGGUUAACUCUCGUUGUCCAGAAACCCGACUCCUUCAUCAUGGACUACAUAAGUCUCGAAAAGGCUAUAUAUUCCUCUGCACACCCAGUGACUAAUGAAUGAAAAAGUGGUCCUUCAUUCAACAAUUGUUCUAGUUUUUGUGGCUUUCUUUCUUAUUUUUUAUUUCCUUUGAUUCUUGUACAAGUGUAUACCCAUACGUCUCCCGUCACCAACACUUUACUUCGAUAAAUUAAUUAAAAAAACUACAAAUUAUUACUGUUCUA